GAAAUGCGAUACGUAAUGCGAAUUGCAGAAUUCAGUGAAUCAUCGAAUCUUUGAACGCAAAUUGCGCUCUCGGGUUACCCCCAAGAGCACACCUCUCUGAGUGUCGGUUUAACCAAAUGUCAUCAAUUUAUUGGUGUACGAUGUUUGAGGGUAAGGGGCCUUGGCUUCUUUCCUUUUAAAUCUUAGCCGCACAACUUUGUGUGCCAGUGGCAAGUUGCUUUCACUUAAUUGUGAAUUCAAUCCACCAGCCCUUAGUCAUGCAGCCCAAAGAAACAACUGGACAAAAUUUGAAGCUUAAAGAUGAGUGAAAGUGUCAUUCUUUGGGUGAUAAGAUUUUUGUUCAACCUAUGAAUUAGACCUCAGAUGAAGUGGGAAGACCCCCUGAAUUUAA
rnacentral:misc_RNA from 1 species